rnacentral:rRNA from 1 species
GACGAACGCUGGCGGCGUGCUUAACACAUGCAAGUCGAACGGUGAAGCGCCUUCCUUUUUGGUGGGUGUGGAUGAGUGGCGAACGGGUGAGUAACACGUGAGUAACCUGCCCCCUUCUUCUGGAUAACCGCAUGAAAGUGUGGCUAAUACGGGAUAUUCUGGGUCUGUCGCAUGAUGGGUCUGUGAAAGAUAUUGUUUCGGUGGGGGAUGGGCUCGCGGCCUAUCAGCUUGUUGGUGGGGUGAUGGCCUACCAAGGCGGUGACGGGUAGCCGGCCUGAGAGGGUGGACGGUCACACUGGGACUGAGACACGGCCCAGACUCCUACGGGCGGCAGCAGUGGGGAAUAUUGCACAAUGGGCGCAAGCCUGAUGCAGCGACGCCGCGUGAGGGAUGGAGGCCUUCGGGUUGUGAACCUCUUUCGCCAGUGAAGCAGGCCUGCCUCGUUUGUGGGUGGGUUGACGGUAGCUGGAUAAGAAGCGCCGGCUAACUACGUG